GAUGAACGCUGGCGGCGUGCCUAAUACAUGCAAGUCGAGCGAACGGACGAGAAGCUUGCUUCUUUGAUGUUAGCGGCGGACGGGUGAGUAACACGUGGAUAACCUACCUAUAAGACUGGGAUAACUUCGGGAAACCGGAGCUAAUACCGUAUAAUAUCUUGAACCGCAUGGUUCAUAAGUGAAAGACGGUCUUGCUGUCACUUAUAGAUGGAUCUGCGCUGCAUUAGCUAGUUGGUAAGGUAACGGCUUACCAAGGCAAGGAUGCAUAGCCGACCUGAGAGGGGGAUAGGCGACACGGGAGGUGGGCCAGGGCCAAUGGUACUACGGGAGGCACCAGAAGGGAACUGUCCGCAGUGGGGGAAAAUAUGGCGGAACAGGGGGACGUCAGAGGUAGAGGUGUCGGGUGCGUAAAGCUCGGUUUUGGGGGAAAAACAGAUGUGGACUGAGACGAAGCGAUAGUGACGGUACGGAGUAAAAAAGCACCGGCUAACUACGUG
rnacentral:rRNA from 1 species